AACGCUAGCUACAGGCUUAACACAUGCAAGUCGAGGGGCAGCAUAGAAGUAGCAAUACUUUGGUGGCGACCGGCGCACGGGUGAGUAACGCGUAUGCAACCUACCUAUCAGAGGGGAAUAACCCGGCGAAAGUCGGACUAAUACCGCAUAAAACAGGGGCACCGCAUGGUGAUAUUUGUUAAAGAAAUUCGCUGAUAGAUGGGCAUGCGUUCCAUUAGAUAGUAGGCGGGGUAACGGCCCACCUAGUCUACGAUGGAUAGGGGUUCUGAGAGGAAGGUCCCCCACAUUGGAACUGAGACACGGUCCAAACUCCUACGGGAGGCAGCAGUGAGGAAUAUUGGUCAAUGGACGAGAGUCUGAACCAGCCAAGUAGCGUGAAGGAUGACUGCCCUAUGGGUUGUAAACUUCUUUUAUAAAGGAAUAAAGUGGUCCACGUGUGGAUUUUUGUAUGUACUUUAUGAAUAAGGAUCGGCUAACUCCGUGCCAGCAGCCGCGGUAAUACGGAGGAUCCGAGCGUUAUCCGGAUUUAUUGGGUUUAAAGGGUGCGUAGGUGGUUUAAUAAGUCAGCGGUGAAAGUUUGCAGCUUAACUGUAAAAAUGCCGUUGAAACUGUUAGACUUGAGUGUAAAUGAGGUAGGCGGAAUGCGUGGUGUAGCGGUGAAAUGCUUAGAUAUCACGAAGAACUCCGAUUG
rnacentral:rRNA from 1 species